UGUGCAUUUUCCCAGCGGUUUGGCUUGGCCGCUGCAGUUGGCCGCUGGGACAGUUGGGACCUCGUCUUGUGAACCAAAAUCACCAUUCUUGUCUCUAAACCAUCUCCAAAGGUUCCAAACUCACCAAAUAGCAUCUCCAUCACCUAAUAGAGACAAAUGUAUAUGCAAUGCAUCUAAAUCUACUCUAAAUGCAUCUAAAUGGACAAAUUGAGAACUAAAAUGAUUGCUAAAACUAUGCAAAUACAUAAGAUAUCAACUCCCCCAAACUAGAACUUUACUUGUCCACAAGUAAACUUUCAAGGUCAAUUAGAAGAAAUGUUUGAAAAUGGGAGUUCAUAACCAAAAGACACACUUUCUAACCUUCAAUGUAACAUCCCAAAGAAAACAUAGCAAAUAGCAUGAGCAUCGACCAGAAUCAACAAGAACAUCAUCAAAAGUGAGCUUACCAAGGUAGCAAGGUAAGGUGAACAUCCCUUGAAACUCAAGCUUAGGGAGGGACUUUGGAGGGAU
rnacentral:lncRNA from 1 species